AUUGAACGCUGGCGGCAGGCCUAACACAUGCAAGUCGAACGAGUGGCGGACGGGUGAGUAAUGUCUGGGAAACUGCCUGAUGUAGGGGUAUAACUACUGGAAACGGUAGCUAAUACCGCAUACCAUCGGAUGUGCCCAGAUGGGAUUAGCUAGUAGGUGGGGGAAAGGCUUACCUAGGCGACGAUCCCUCGCUGGUCUGAGAGGAUGACCAGCCACACUGGAACUGAUGCACGGUCCAGACCCCUACGGGAGGCAGCAGUGGGGAAUAAUGCACAAUGGGCUAAAGCCGGAUGUCGCCAUGCCGCGUGUAUGAAGAAGGCCGUCGGGUUGUAAAGUACUUUCAGCGUGUAGGCGUUACCCGCAGAAGAAGCACCGGCUAACUCCGUGCCAGCAGCCGCGGUAAUUC
rnacentral:rRNA from 1 species